rnacentral:rRNA from 1 species
AACGAACGCUGGCGGCAUGCCUAACACAUGCAAGUCGAACGAGACCUUCGGGUCUAGUGGCGCACGGGUGCGUAACGCGUGGGAACCUGCCCUUAGGUUCGGAAUAACUCCCCGAAAGGGGUGCUAAUACCGGAUAAUGUCUUCGGGCCAAAGAUUUAUCGCCUUUGGAUGGGCCCGCGUUGGAUUAGCUAGUUGGUAGGGUAAAAGCCUACCAAGGCGACGAUCCAUAGCUGGUCUGAGAGGAUGAUCAGCCACACUGGGACUGAGACACGGCCCAGACUCCUACGGGAGGCAGCAGUGGGGAAUAUUGGACAAUGGGCGGAAGCAUGAUCCAGCAAUGCCGCGUGAGUGAUGAAGGCCUUAGGGUUGUAAAGCUCUUUUACCCGGGAUGAUAAUGACAGUACCGGGAGAAUAAGCUCCGGCUAACUCCGUG